CAGCAGCGGGAAUACGUAGGGUGCGAGCGUUAAUCGGAAUUACUGGGCGUAAAGCGUGCGCAGGCGGUUGUGUAAGACAGGUGUGAAAUCCCCGGGCUUAACCUGGGAACUGCGCUUGUGACUGCACAGCUAGAGUAUGGCAGAGGGGGGUGGAAUUCCACGUGUAGCAGUGAAAUGCGUAGAGAUGUGGAGGAACACCGAUGGCGAAGGCAGCCCCCUGGGCCAAUACUGACGCUCAUGCACGAAAGCGUGGGGAGCAAACAGGAUUAGAUACCCGGGUAGUCCCUGUCUCUUAUACACC
rnacentral:rRNA from 1 species